AUGGGAGUCAUCGCCGCCACCAUGACCCCUGUGGAGAGGAUGUGUACCCUCGUCCUGGACGAGAUGGCAAUCAAACACCAAUUUGAUUAUGAUCGCAGGAACGAUGCGAGAUACAACGAUGGUGUAUCUGCAUCUGGGGCUGCAGCAAAACAAGCGACGGUCGUCAUGGCUAGGGGCAUUAUGGGGAAAUGGAAGCAGACUGUUGGUUACUUCUUUUCCCCAUCUUCAAUGCCAGCAGAUGAUAUUGCUACCGUCAUUAAGGAUGCCAAUCGCCACCUACAUCAUAUAGGGCUGACAGUGCAGGCAGUAAUAUGUGACCAGGGAAGCCCUAAUGUGAAGGCUGUGCGAAACCUUGGGGCUAACCUGGACCCUCUGGGAGGUGAGGAGUCCCACUGUAUCCUGGUGGGGGUUCAGAGGUGA
rnacentral:lncRNA from 1 species